UGGAAUUGUGCAGGAGUCUCAGCUGGAGAAGAAGCUGUCAGAAGUGGACCUGAACUGCCUGGACAUCCUUCUAAGGAGACAUGAACAGUCCUCAGCUUUCUGCAUUCUGGAUAACUGGCUAUGAGUAAGAACAGUCACACAUCAGAGUCUACUGUCCUCAUGCGAUGGAAAUUUGCAGAGGAAUCGUCCAGGAGCCCCAGCCGGAUGAGAAUGUCAGAAGUGGACCUGAGCAGCCUGGACAUCCUUCUAAGGAAACAAGAAUAGUCCUCAGGUUUCUGCCUUCUGCAUAACUGGCUUACCAAGGAAAAAGACAUCACAUGUCAAAGUCUACUGCCCUUAUGAGUGAGAGUGACGAGACUGCGAGCGUUGUUGGUGCCAGGCAGGAGCCGUCCAUCUGGGAGCAGAACAGCUGCUACUAUCACUGAGAUAAGUAUCUGUUUUGCUGAGGGUUCUGCUCACGGCCCACCUGGCUACAGGUAGAGACACCCCGUUAGGUGGAGUGGGUUUGUAAGAAAAGGUUCCUGACUAGCUGUGGUUUUGAGGGAGACACGGUCCCCAUUUUCAGGGGCUGAUUUCUCUGGCCAGGAUCGGUGUGUCCUCGGCAGGAGAAGGUUAGAUCCAUGAGGGAUGACUCCAGGUGGUGAGUUGCUUGCCUUCCUCCUCUGUUUCUCUCUCUGUCUUCUCUACUCUACUCUACUCUACUGUGUUGGCCAACACACACUCUCUCUCUCUCUCUCUCUCUCUCUCUCUCUCUCUCGGCUGUCUCCCUUCAUAGGGUACAGGCAGGAGUGCUAUGUGUGCAUCCCCUCAGGCUAGGUCUCGGGAGCUAUGAAUAAGUAGGAGGGGACGAAAAUCAUGCAUCGUAGUGGGCGCUAGAGUGGAGGGGUGACUGUAGAUGUUGACUCUCUCUUCAAGUGGGCCUGAUGUAGAUAGGCAGGGAUGAGGGCAAGAUUACCUGCACCAAUUGAAUUUUGUGUAGUGAUGGCUCUUGCUUCGCUCAUUUCCUGCGCUUGCAGAGGAAUUGUCCAGGAGCAGCAGCUGAAGGAGAAAGUGGCAGACGCGGACCUGAGGAGCCUGGACAUCCUUCUAAGCAGACAUGAAAGGUCCUCAGAUUUCUGCCUCCCGCACAACUGGCUGUGAGUAAGCGGUCAGUGCUUGGAAUCCCUCAUCUAUACUGGCUCCGGUUUUGUUCAGAGGCUCUGAAUUUCUUCAUUGGACAUGGUGCUCUGUGGGAUUCAGACGAAGCAAAGGCACAAGUCUUCUGUGCAAAUGCUGGGUUUAGUACCAAGUGCAGAGUCAGAGUCCACUCCGCACAUGCCAUGGAAAGGGAGCGAGAGCUGGGAGAUUCUAAGCAUUGUUGAUGCCAGGGAAGAGCCAUCCAGCUGGGAGUGGAGCAAGGACCACUGUCAGUGAGAUAAGUGUCUUGUUAGGUGAAGGCUCUGCUGUGGUUACAAGGGAGACAAGGUCCCUAUUUUCAGGGGCUGCUCAGUCCUCUGGCCAGUACAGGUGUGUCCUCUGCAGCGGAAGGUUGGAUCCAGGAGGAUGACUCCAGGUGACAAGUUGCUUGCCUGCCUUCCUCCCGUGUUUCUCAUUUUCUCGCUCUGUCUCUUUAGUGUGUUGGCCAACACUCUCUCUUAAUCUGUCCUGUCCUUUCCUUGUGCCAUCUCCCUUCUUAGGACACAGGCAGGCCUCUGAGGUGUGCAUCUCCACAGGUUAGGUCUUGAAAGCCCUGGAGUAGUAGGAGGGGACUAAAACCAUGCGGGGUAGUGGGUGCGAGAGUGGAGCAGUGACUGUCAGUGUUGAAUAGGUCUCUGUUCAAGUGGGGCUGAUGUAGAUGGGUGGAAGAGGGAGGCAGGAUUGAGGGCAACAUUUCAAGCACCAUUAGAACUGUGUGUAGAGAUGGCGCAUGCUUGGCUUUUGCAGCUGCAUUUCCAGAGGAAUUGUCCAGGAGCUUGAGCCGGAGGAGAAACUGGCAGAGGUGGAUCUGAGCAGCUUGGACAUGGUUCUAACCAGACAGGAACAGUCCUCAGCUUUCUGCCUUCUGAACACCUGGCUGUGAGUAAGCGGUCAGUGCUUUCAAUUCCUUAUCUGUACUCGCUGUAGUUUACUUCACAGGCCUUGUGCUUCCUCCUUGGGUACCGGGCACAGUGGUAUUAAGGCUGGGGAAGGGACAGGAGUCUCCUGAGCAAAGUGACUAUUUUGGGUGCAGUUACAAUGGAUCCCUUCUAGUUGCAGAUGUAUAGUAGUAAUAGAAGAUGGUUUGAUGGCGGAGCCGUGGGAUAUGGGAGAUGAAGAGACUACGUGACAUUGCAGAUGGAGAUGCUAAUUUGUUUGUUUUUCUCUCCUCUGCUGGGUUUAGUACCAAGGAAAAAUAAGUCACAUGUCAGAGUCUACUGCCCUCAUGCAAUGGAAAGUGAGUGAGAGCAGCGAGCCUGUGAGCAUUGUUCAUGCCAGGCAAGAGCCGUUCAUUUGGGAGCCAAGCAGAUGCCACUGUCAGUGAGAUAAGUGUCUGUUUUGCUGAGGGUUCUGUUAUCAGCCAAUCUGACUCCAGGAGAAGGUUGGAUCCAGGAGGAUGACUCCAGAUGGUGAGUUACAUGCCUUUCUCCUGUGUUUCUCUCUCUCUCUUCUCUAGUGUGUUGGCCAACACUCUCUCUCUCUCUCUCUCUCUGUCUCUGUCUCUGUCCUUGCCUCUCCUUGUGCCGUCUCCCUUCAUAGAACAGGGGCAUGAGUGCUAGGUGUGCAUCCCCACAGGCUUGGUCUCGGGAGCUAUGAACAAGUAGGAGGGGAUGAAAAUCAUGCAGGAUAGUGGGCGCCAGAGUGAGGCAGUGUCUGUGGAUGUUGACUCAGUCUCUGUUCAUUGAGUCCGGCGGCUGUAGAUGGAAUGGGAGAGGGAGGCAGGGAUGAGGACAUUCAUAGAGCUCUGUGUAAUGAUGGU